CUUCCAGAAGUUCAGUUAUUCAUUAAAACAUUUGACAGUGUUUGUUACAUAAUAAUUUUAAUCAGAAACUACAUAUUUUAUAUCCGGAGCUUUAAAAUUAUGUCUGGUCAGCUAUACUGUUGAAAAUAGAAAUUGAUUUACUUACUAUUUUAUUGUAGUUUCAUACUUUUUACAAUGGCUAGUUUUAAAAAGAGGCAACUUGCACACAAUUGAAGUGGAUCAACCCCUCUUAACCAGUUGUGGCUAUAAAGAUUGACAGCAGUGGGUGGUCAGCCUUCCUUUCAUUCUUCCAUGUACACAGAAAUGUCAUCAGGAUUCAGUUACUUCUAUGUCAACAUGGAAUUAUGUAAUCUGCUCUCAAAAUUCAAAAGACUACCAACAUGUAUUAAAAUGUCGAUCAAGAAUUCAUAUAUACAUUUCAAGAAUAUGUUGAAUUAACAGAUGAAAAAAACUCCUUAGAAAAAGUGGUCAAAUAUUUCAAGUGAAGUUUGGUGGGGAAGUAAAAUCUUUAAGAAAUUACUAUGCAUCAUUGUCAGUUAAGUGCAAUAUAAAAUGGACAUACAUAAAUGAAAAAGCCAGAAUAAAUAAAGUUGACAGAGAAAUUUAAAAGAAGCAAGAAGCCGUUUUCCACACCCAUACCCUGGUUGCACAUUGACCACACACUCCAAAAUAGGGAGGAAAACCGAGACAACACCCUGAAAGAAAACAAAACCAGAAACAGCACUUUACAAGAAAUUCUCCAGAAUCUUAUAAUACAAAGACAUUUUCUACAACUCAGAUCUCCUUUCCAGAUUAGCCUAAUUUCUUUUUAUUUCAAGAAAUGUGCUUCUGAAUUAUCAAAUAAACUCUCUCAAUCUCUGCUUCUGCCUGAAGUUGAAUGGAUGAAACAACUAAAAAUCUGAAGAUUUUAUAAGAUUUCCAUAUGCUGUAGACCACAAGGACGAAGGCAGUUGUUGUCCUACCUGGAAGCAGGCAGUGCCUUGACUCAUUUGCUCCAGACCCUGUCUCUGACAUGCUUGGCAGACAUUCUCCCCAGAUGAGUCACUCCUGAGACCUGCAUUUGAGUGGAUCUUCCAUGUCCUGCAACCCUGAUUUCCACCUCAGCCAUUCUUACCCUUAUUACCUUAUCCAUGUCAUUAUUGAACUUGCUCCCUGCUAUAGACUUUGCAUGUGUGUGGACCUCCAAAAUUCCUAUUUUGAAAUCUAAUCACUGAUAUGCAAUAGAAUUAAGUGGUGAGGACUUUUGAGAGGUGACUGGGUCAUUGAUAUGGUUUGGCAGUGUCCCAUCCAAAUCUCAUCUUGAAUUGUAACUCCCACAAUUUCCACAUGUCAUGGGAGGGACCUGGUGGCAGGUGAUUGAAUUAUGGGGGCAGCCCUUUUCCUGCACUGUUUUUGUGGUAGUGAAUGAGUCCCAUGAGAUCUGAUGGUUUUAAAAAGGGGAAUUUCCCUGCACAAGUUCUUCUCUUGUCUGCCACCAUGUGAGACGUGCCUUUCACCUUCUGCCAUGAUUGUGAGACCUCCCCAGCUACGUGGAACUGUAAGUCCAAUAAAUCACUUUCUUUUGUAAA
rnacentral:lncRNA from 1 species